ensembl:lncRNA
AUGCUGAAUUUACACAUGAAAAACGGAGCGAACACAAGACAAUCACUAUCACAGGUUAACAAACACUUCACAGCGCAAAGAGAAACUCAGCAGAUGCCAUCCUCAAUUAGCCCAAAAGGAAGCGUCAAUGGCCUCACAUGUUGGGCAGCUUCAGGAGGGUUUCUGUCAGCAGCCCAGCAGAAAACCCCUGCGGGGAACGUUCAGCUAACGGCGGCGGCACUGUGACCCCCGGCUCCCAUCGACAGUGACAUCUCGCCGAUGGCAAGCUGUGUGAAAAAGGAACAGAAACAAUCAGGAGUCGCUUGAAGCGCUGCGGCAGAAAGGGCAAAGCUAAAGCCCUGUGUGCUAACCUAAAGGCUCGACAGGAGCCCCAGCAGGCCGUCUGUGCAGGUACCCUCGGGCAGCUGGGGACACUCGGGCUGUCCCACACCGAGGGGACGCUGCACGAGGCUGGGGCAGGACAGGGCAGAGGGACCCUGGCCCUGUGACAUGAGCUCUGACCCUUGGCACACCCGAGCCAAAUUUGAAUCGGCUUUUGGAUAACGUGCAGAGAAAACAAGUGUGAACGUGGCCCUUGUCAUCCGUGCGCAGCUGAGUGUAACAUAAUCUCUGGUGACACAAGCGGUUUAGGCAACUCUCUAAAAUAAUAUAUUGGUCUUAAGACAAGUAUUUUGUUGUAGAAAAUACCUCUCAUUUGGGUUGAAAUUUGCCUUCUAGUUUUUUGCAUCCUGCUUGGCUGAACCCAAGUUUUACUCAAUGAUUAACUUUGAAUUGCAGUAUGUUUGUCUGCUGGUUUAACUUCAGGAGAUUAACUGUCCUUUUCCCCAAAGUGAUAAAAGCGGGAAUACAGAAAUAAUGGUAAAUACCAUUUCCUUGCUAUCUAAAAGACUCUCAUCUUUAGCAGCCUAAGGGAAGGCAAGAACACGGAAUGAGAAAACCCUGGUGGCAAACUUCCAGAAAAAAAGUGAUCUGUAGUUAGCAAAGAGGGAUGUAUCUAUGAAAGAAAUCAUAUUUAUAUGAUUUUUACAAAGUCUUGCUAGUUUGGGUCCAGCACUGAGAGCCAGAGAACCCAGAAAAUAUAAAGUCUGAAAUAAUUUAGCCUCUACUGGGAAAUAUUCCAAAACUUCUUCCUUUAGGAUGGAUGUUCCUUUUUGGUUAGGAAAGAUGCUUACUGCACUUCCAGCUCCCACGUGUCUGUUCACCUUCACAACUGUCCUCUUCCCUCCAUGCCUCUCAGAAAAAGUUAACCAGUCCAUAAAAAGAUAACCCUUUCCUGCCAAGUUCUUCCAAAAUUGUUCUGCAUCGUCAGGGGCUGCGUGAAGACCAGCAGGAACCUUGCUGUUUAUUAACUAUAAUUAGUGUAUUUACUCAUUGUCCUUAACUGCUUUGAAAGUGGCUGAAAGGUGACUGUGUAACUCACACUAAACUAUUAUCACAACCAUCUUUAAGAAUUAUGUUUCAUUAGAUGUUACUUAACCAGAAUGAAGAAAUUCUUUAUUCACAGUCACACCUCCCUCUCUCCAAAGGACAACACAAGUGAGAUACAGCCCAGUCACCCUGGGCUAAGAUGAGCACACAUCAGCUAAAGAUUAGAUUAAUGAGCAUUAAUCAGGAGCCACCAAUCUGGCAUGACAUGGGGCUCUGUGGGAUAUCCUGGCCCGUCUUUGAGGUGUGGGACACACAAGCCCAAAGGGAAAUCACAACUUCCCUGGGUGCUGCACAGCCUCCCCUUCCCCUGAGACCAAGGUCCUUAACCUUUGUCUAACAAUGUGGCUGCUUUGUAAUCUUUUUGUUCAAUCCUAGCCUGUUCUCCUCCACUGAAAGGAAAGGAAAAAAGAAUAAGAAUGGUCCUUUUAAAAAACAAUCCAGCCCUAUUAAGUGGUACAAAGCCGUGCUUGCUAGCUCUGCUGCAGGAUGUUGAUCCCUCUCUGAGGCUGGUGAUGUGCAGCACUCCCUUCCCUGACGUGUGCAAGCCUAUCCAUUCAAAUUCUUGUAAAUGGACUCCUAUCUGCAUAUCCCACACAAUAAAAGCCCUGCUUGUGGUAUUCA